GGAGAGAGGUCUUACUGCGUUGGCUAGGCUGGUCUCAAACGCCUGGCUUCAAGCAAUCCUCCUGUCUCAGCCUCCCAAAGUAUUGGAAUUACAAGCCUGAGCUGCCGUGCUUGGCCAAGCAUUGUCCAGUUUUAAAACCUGCACAGCUGAAAUGAGUAAUUGCCUGGGCAAAGGGUCACACCUGCUUGGUUUAACAGGAUGCAGACAAAUGAGAGGCCCGCCUCGCAGAGAUGCUCAGCCCGGCUCAGCAGCACAGACGUCAGGACUCACCAGAUAUUGGGUCCUUGAGCUUCUUCGCUAACUAUGAAGGAAGAAGUGAGAGAACACUGUGGUGCCAAACUCAAACUCGCAUUCUAGCUCUGCCACUUGCUGUCCACCAGCAGCCCUUCUGCUUUGGACCUUGGAGAAGUGUCAAAGCCUCUCUGCAUUGCAGAUUUCUCAUCUUUAAAAUAAAAAUCAUAUCCCAGAGAGUUGUUGAAGAUUCACUGGGUAAAUGUAAAGCGCAUAGAACAAUGCCAGGCACUGUAAGUACUAUGUAAGUAAUAACUAUCAUUAGGACCAUGUAAUGGACCAUGUAAAUGGUUGUUAUUAUUACUGUUUGAUAUGCUCUGAAAUAUAGAAAUAAGAAACAUCAUCAUCUGAAAUAAUCUCCUAAGUUUAAAACUUUGCCUGGAAAGAAGUAACUGGUAACCAUAGCUUUGGAGAAACUAUGUUAUUGAAAACUGCAUUCUCG
rnacentral:lncRNA from 10 species